CAUACGUCCUACGGGAGAAAGCAGGGGACCUUCGGGCCUUGCGCUAAUAGAUGAGCCUAAGUCGGAUUAGCUAGUUGGUAGGGUAAAGGCCUACCAAGGCGACGAUCUGUAGCGGGUCUGAGAGGAUGAUCCGCCACACUGGGACUGAGACACGGCCCAGACUCCUACGGGAGGCAGCAGUGGGGAAUAUUGGACAAUGGGGGGAACCCUGAUCCAGCCAUGCCGCGUGUGUGAAGAAGGCCUUUUGGUUGUAAAGCACUUUAAGCGAGGAGGAGGCUACCUAGAUUAAUACUUUAGGAUAGUGGACGUUACUCGCAGAAUAAGCACCGGCUAACUCUGUGCCAGCAGCCGCGGUAAUACAGAGGGUGCGAGCGUUAAUCGGAUUUACUGGGCGUAAAGCGUGCGUAGGCGGCCAAUUAAGUCAAAUGUGAAAUCCCCGAGCUUAACUUGGGAAUUGCAUUCGAUACUGGUUGGCUAGAGUAUGGGAGAGGAUGGUAGAAUUCCAGGUGUAGCGGUGAAAUGCGUAGAGAUCUGGAGGAAUACCGAUGGCGAAGGCAGCCAUCUGGCCUAAUACUGACGCUGAGGUACGAAAGCAUGGGGAGCAAACAGGAUUAGAUACCCUGGUAGUCCAUGCCGUAAACGAUGUCUACUAGCCGUUGGGGCCCUUGAGGCUUUAGUGGCGCAGCUAACGCGAUAAGUAGACCGCCUGGGAGUACGGUCGCAAGACUAAAACUCAAAUGAAUUGACGGGG
rnacentral:rRNA from 1 species